rnacentral:ncRNA from 1 species
UUAAAUUGAUUAAAGAGUUUGAUGUUGGCUCAGUGCAAUUGCUAUUUAGAUGCAUAAUACAUGCGAAUUAAACGGGAUUAAAUGAAUCAUAAAGUGAUUUAUUUAUGACAAAGUAGUGAACUCGUGAGUAAAUAAUAGUAAUAUGAACUAUAAUAUAGGUUAAAUACCAAAAAAAUAGAUAAAAUUUAUCGAUUAUAGUCAAGCUAUUAAAAAUAUUAGGUAGUAGGAUAAAUAAGAGAUUAACCUAGCCGAAGAUAUUUAGUUGGUUAUAAGAGUAAGCCCAAUCACGUUGAUAAUGAGAGAACGAUCAAUAUCUUAAUUAAGAUACAGCAGUAAGGAAUAUUCGUCAAUGAACGAAAGUUUGAACGAGCAAUCUAAAAAAGUGAAAAAAUAUUAUAAUGAAAAAACGAAAUUAAAUUAAUAUAUAAUAUUAAAUGAAUUAAUAUAAAACUUUAAUAUAAUAAUAAAUAAUGAUAGAUUAUUAUAAAAUAGUCCUAACAAACAGACGUGCCAGCAGUUGCGGUUAUACGUCAAGGACAAGUAAUGCACAUUAUAGGCUUAAAGGGUUCGUAGAAUUGUAAUUCCAUAUGGAAUUUACUAGAGUUAAAUAAUAAGAUAUAAGAAUUAUAAGAGUAAUGGUUAAAUAUAUUAAUACUUAUAAGACUAUUAAGACAUGAAAAUCUAUAUCAAUAAUCAACUGACAUUGAGGAACGAAAGCUAAAGUAGCGAAACGGAUUAGUUACCCGUAUAGUUUUAGCAGUAAACGAUGAAUGUUAAAGUCAGAUAAAAGAGUAUAAUCUCAAUAAAAUAUCUAGUCUUAAAGUGAAAACGUAAACAUUCCGCCUGGGGAGUAUAAACGCAAGUUAUAAACUCAAAACAAUAGACGGUAUAAGUUAUACACAGUGGAUCAUGUAGUUUAAUGCGAUAAUCCGCGAUAACCUUACCAUUUUUAGUAUAAGUCGCAAUGCGACCUACAAGUGUUACAUAGCUGUCUUCAGUUCAUGCCGUAAGGUUUUAGGUUAAGUCCAUUAAUGAACGAAAUCCUACAAUUAUAUUAAUAUAAUUAAUUUAUUAUGAUAAUUAUUUAUCUAAUAUUAAGGAUUAAGACAAGUCCUCAUGACCUUAAUAAAAUGGGCUAUAUACGUGAUACAAAUAUACAUACAAAAUCAAGUAAUAUAGUGAUAUAUAACAAAUGAUAUAAAAUGUAUAAUUUAUUAAUUAAUUUAUUAAUUAUAUUUAAUAUGGAUCAUAUACUGUAAUUCGUAUAUGUGAAAUAGGAAUUGUGAGUAAUACGUAAUUAAGUACAUUACGGUGAAACAUUCUCUUAUGCGUACUAAUCACUCAUCAUUCGCUUGAAAUAUUUAAAUACUAAAAUGUAUAUAUUAUUUAAUAUUGAUUUUAUUAUAUAAUUAAUAUAUAUUAAGUACUGAAUUUGACAAGUGAGAAGUUGAAAUAUAGUUGUGGUAGAGGAAUCUGCUGCGGGCUUUAAAUUUAUCUUGACUAUCCCUUUUU